rnacentral:rRNA from 1 species
AUUGAACGCUGGCGGCGUGCCUAACACAUGCAAGUCGAGCGGUAACAGGUGUAGCAAUACAUGCCGACGAGCGGCGGACGGGUGAGUAACGCUUGGGAAUCUGCCUAUUAGUGGGGGACAACCCGGGGAAACUCGGGCUAAUACCGCAUACGCUCUACGGAGGAAAGCCGGGGACCGCAAGGCCUGGCGCUAAUAGAUGAGCCCAAGUCGGAUUAGCUAGUUGGUAGGGUAAUGGCCUACCAAGGCGACGAUCCGUAACUGGUCUGAGAGGACGACCAGUCACACCGGGAACUGAGACACGGUCCGGACUCCUACGGGAGGCAGCAGUGGGGAAUAUUGGACAAUGGGCGAAAGCCUGAUCCAGCGACGCCGCGUGGGUGAAGAAGGCCUGCGGGUUGUAAAG